UAGUGAGUUUGAUCCUGGCUCAGGGUGAACGCUGGCGGCGUGCCUAAGACAUGCAAGUCGAACGCAGUAGCUUGCUACUGAGUGGCGCACGGGUGAGUAACACGUAACUGACCUACCCCGUAGUCCCGCACAACGGUCCGAAAGGACCGCUAAUUCGGGAUGUGAACCCGCACCGUGGUGCGUGUUUAAAGAUUCAUCGCUAUGGGAUGGGGGUUGCGUUCCAUCAGCUAGUUGGUAGGGUAAAGGCCUACCAAGGCGACGA
rnacentral:rRNA from 1 species